rnacentral:rRNA from 1 species
UACGUAGGGUGCGAGCGUUGCCCGGAUUUAUUGGGCGUAAAGGGCGCGUAGGCGGCCACGCACGUCCGUUGUGAAAUCGCCCGGCUCAACUGGGCGGGGUCAGCGGAUACGGUGUGGCUAGAGCAAGCUAGGGGGCAAUGGAAUUCCCGGUGUAGUGGUGGAAUGCGUAGAUAUCAGGAGGAACACCAAUUGCGAAGGCAGCUCGCUGGGACGUAACUGACGCUGAGACGCGAAAGCGUGGGGAGCAAACAGG